CUUUUUUUUUUUUUUUAAUCGAUAUUGCCUCAGAAUAUCAUGUCAGGUUUAAACGCUAAUUCUCGAAAUUCUGAAGGUGAUGCCUUCCGGAAGUUACUGGCGCCGAGCUAGCCCCUCCUUGACGCAAAUUGUAAACACCAUUUUCUCAAAACCAUGUUUUUUAAAAUUGUGGUAUUGAUAAUAACAAAACUACAAAACUGAUUUUCAUCAUCUAUCAGUCUUUUUUAAGAGCAUAAAAAAUGAGCUGGAUAAUAAGGGAAGUGACGUUAUUGCGGUGCGAAAAGGAAAUAAAUUUUGUUUUAAAAGUGGUAAAACUUUUACCGAAACUUUUCAAUUGGUGAAACAAGUUUAUUCCGAUGAUUGCCUAUCCCGUAGCAGAGUGCACGAGUGAUUUCAACGUUUUCAAAGUGGACGUGAGGACGUGAAUGACGAUGUAAUCGCGCCUGGAGAAGUCAAAAGUGAAAACAAUGCUGAUUUGUUUUUAUGAUUCCACGGUUUUGAAGCGUGCGCCGUAUUCGACGUGUCCGAAUAUCGUAAAUAUGGAAGUUGGCGUCUGUUGCACAAUAAUGCGCCGUCUCAUCGAUCGACGCCUGUGGCCGAUUAUUUGACCAAAAAUCACAUUUUAACUAUCAACCACUCCCCGUACUCACCUGAUAUGGCACCAAGCGACUUAUACCUUUUCGGAAAAAUGCAUUUGCCGAUGAAAAGAAAACGUUAUGGUGACGUAGACACCAUUCAAAAGGCUUGCAUAUUGGCGGUCAUACCGGGCAAAGAGCUGAAACACUCGGUCGACUGCUUUUGGCCGUGCAAAAAGCUGUAUUAAAGCAGAGAGAGACUAUUUUAAAUGAAAUAAAUUGAUUUUGCCAAUUAAAACCAUUCGUUCUGUCUUGCCGUGCUUACUUUGGAACCUACCUUGUACGUUUGCACUACUACCUUUUUAGUGCUGUUGCCUUUAUUAAACAUCUGACGAAAUUAUUAUCGCGGGUUU
rnacentral:sRNA from 1 species